rnacentral:rRNA from 1 species
GACGAACGCUGGCGGCGUGCUUAACACAUGCAAGUCGAACGGAAAGGCCCUGCUUUUGUGGGGUGCUCGAGUGGCGAACGGGUGAGUAACACGUGAGUAACCUGCCCUUGACUUUGGGAUAACUUCAGGAAACUGGGGCUAAUACCGGAUAGGAGCUCCUGCUGCAUGGUGGGGGUUGGAAAGUUUCGGCGGUUGGGGAUGGACUCGCGGCUUAUCAGCUUGUUGGUGGGGUAGUGGCUUACCAAGGCUUUGACGGGUAGCCGGCCUGAGAGGGUGACCGGCCACAGUGGGACUGAGAUACGGCCCAGACUCCUACGGGAGGCAGCAGUGGGGAAUAUGGCACAAUGGGCGGAAGCCUGAUGCAGCAACGCCGCGUGCGGGAUGACGGCCUUCGGGUUGUAAACCGCUUUCGCCUGUGACGAAGCGUGAGUGACGGUAAUGGGUAAAGAAGCACCGGCUAACUACGUG